CUUCACUAGUGCAAGUGCAAGCCACAACUAAUCUUUGCUUUGUGCGUUGCGCUUAGUAACCUUCGUUUGUGCUCCUUUGCAGGUUGUUUUACCUGAACCUUUGGAUAACGCUUGUUGAUGCCUGACUUCGCUCUCAGCAUUGCUUUGCUGUUUUGGAUUUUCGACUUCUGGAGAAAGGUCUACUAUUUUUGUGGAUUAAGAUCCAAGAUUCCUGUUUACUUCGUCUGGACAACGACCAGCUGGCAGCUUCCUGUUUCACCGUUAUCCGAACCUAAGCGUAACCUGUUCACCCUCCAACGCAAGUACCUUCAUCCUGAACUCAUCAUUCCUCACAAAUCUCUCAAGCCCUUCCAGAGAAACUUCUGUGCCAUACACUCAGACUGCGAAUCCCUCAACCCCCCUGGCGGUUAUAUUACUCCAACAUGUUGGUGAUUUACGAGUUCCUGCACACUUCCCAUUUAUCUUUGUUUAAGAAAAGCUUCUUCAUAAACCUGUUUCUUCUUCUGAGUGUUUUCAUCUGCAUGUGGGUCAGAACUAUCUCGAGCAAAAUGACAGUUUGGCUGUCACCGGUAUGCUAUAGUUGUAAUACAAUCCUUUUAAGAAAUCUAAAA